UAUCCAAUCAGGACAGGCAUAGGCGGGGCGCAGGGGUUUGUCCAAUCAGAGACGUGAAGCUGAGGUGGUGACCUGCGCAGUCAAGGGCGCUAAGGGGACCGACUGGGGAACUCUCCAAUCAGGGGCGCUGACGUCGACAGCAUUGUCCAAUCAGAGUCGCGACUUCACGAGCUCUGUCCAAUGAGGCCCCGGGGACAGUGCGCCCAGUUCCCCUCGCCCUGCGCGCUUUCAGUCCUACCCUGAGCGGCUCAGGUGUCCCUGUGGCGCUCACGUGCGCCGGCUGCGGGACGGCGGGUGCUCACCCGGUGAGCCCAGGAACGGGCAGGACAUGGACUCAGUGGUCUUUGAGGAAGUGGCUGUGAGGUUCACCCCGGAAGAGUGGGCGUUGCUGAGUCAUGCUCAGAGGAGACUCUACAGGGAUGUGAUGCUGGAAAUCUGCAGGAACCUGGCCUCCUUGGAUAGUUGCACUUAUGUUAGAAGCAGUGGAUCAAGUUCUCAGAGAGAUGUUUUCGGGAAUGAAAUAUCCAAUGAGGAGGAAAUUGCAAAAUUUACAAGAAGUGAUUCCUGGUCUAUUUUUGGACAAAAUUGGAGAUUUGAUAACAUUGGAGAUCAGCACCAAAUCCCAGAGAGGCAUCUGAGGUGAGUGACACUCAGCCAGAGGGAGGGGCCUCUCCACAGAGCGUCAGACCAACGUGCAAUUAACAGAAAAGUGUAAACAGCUACAGAGUUCUACACUCUCAGACGCUUUUUUCU